rnacentral:rRNA from 1 species
GUAGGUGGCAAGCGUUGUCCGGAAUUAUUAGGCGUAAAGCGCGCGCAGGCGGUUCUUUAAGUCUGAUGUGAAAGCCCACGGGCUCAACCGUGGAGGGUCAUUGGAAACUGGAGAACUUGAGUACAGAAGAGGAAAGCGGAAUUCCACGUGUAGCGGUGAAAUGCGUAGAGAUGUGGAGGAACACCAGUGGCGAAGGCGGCUUUCUGGUCUGUAACUGACGCUGAGGCGCGAAAGCGUGGGGAGCAAACAGGAUUAGAUACCCUGGUAGUCCACGCCGUAAACGAUGAGUGCUAAGUGUUAGGGGGUUUCCGCCCCUUAGUGCUGCAGCUAACGCAUUAAGCACUCCGCCUGGGGAGUACGGCCGCAAGGCUG